rnacentral:rRNA from 1 species
GACGAACCGUGCGAACGUUAUUCGGAAUCACUGGGCUUAAAGGGCGCGUAGGCGGGUCCGUCAGUCAGGGGUGAAAUCCCACGGCCCAACCGUGGAAGUGCCUUUGAUACUGCGGGCCUCGAGGGGAUAGGGGCGUGCGGAACUCAGGGUGGAGCGGUGAAAUGCGUAGAUAUCCUGAGGAAUACCGGUGGCGAAAGCGGCGCGCUGGAUCCCUUCUGACGCUGAGGUGCGAAAGCCAGGGGAGCAAAGCGGG